GCCAGUGUGGUGUAAUGGUUUGGACACUGGACUAUGACUCUGGAGAGGAGGGUUCAGAUCUCUGCUCAGUCA